rnacentral:rRNA from 1 species
AUUGAACGCUGGCGGCAUGCUUUACACAUGCAAGUACGAACGGGCAGCACGGGUGCUUGCACCUGGUGGCGAGUGGCGAACGGGUGAGUAAUACAUCGGAACGUACCUUAUCGUGGGGGAUAACGCAGCGAAAGUUGCGCUAAUACCGCAUACGCCCUGAGGGGGAAAGCGGGGGACCGUAAGGCCUCGCGCGAUUAGAGCGGCCGAUGUCUGAUUAGCUUGUUGGUGAGGUAAAAGCUCACCAAGGCGAUGAUCAGUAGCUGGUCUGAGAGGACGAUCAGCCACACUGGGACUGAGACACGGCCCAGACUCCUACGGGAGGCAGCAGUGGGGAAUUUUGGACAAUGGGGGCAACCCUGAUCCAGCAAUGCCGCGUGAGUGAAGAAGGCCUUCGGGUUGUAAAGCUCUUUUGUCAGGGAAGAAACAGCAGCUCUAACACAGACUGCGAAUGACGGUACCUGAAGAAUAAGCACCGGCUAACUACGUGCCAGCAGCCGCGGUAAUACGUAGGGUGCGAGCGUUAAUCGGAAUUACUGGGCGUAAAGCGUGCGCAGGCGGUUAUACAAGACAGGCGUGAAAUCCCCGGGCUUAACCUGGGAAUGGCGUCUGUGACUGUAUAGCUAGAGUGUGUCAGAGGGGGGUGGAAUUCCACGUGUAGCAGUGAAAUGCGUAGAUAUGUGGAGGAACACCAAUGGCGAAGGCAGCC